rnacentral:lncRNA from 1 species
CGAUGGUGAGUGGGAGGUUAUUCAAAGGAAGCCUAAGAAUAGAACUGGAAGCAGUGCUGCAAGACCUUGGGGUCCUCAAAAUUCCAAUGGUAAACCGCGGGGAGCGAUGUGGACUAAUGCUGUAUCAGGAAGAGCCUCUGGCAAUGCUUGGGAUGCUCAUAAUACUGAUUCUAGGAUGGCAACUGGCAGAGGAAAUGCAAGACCCCAAGCAUUCAACAAGGCUAUUGAGAACAACAAUGUGCCACCACAUCCUGUCAUUCGCCCACCCCUUCAGUAUGGAUGGAAUUGGCAAUCUAGAACUGGUUCCAAUCCAUCCGGGGGGUUACAAGAUGAUCAUGGAAAAAACAAUGUCAACGCUGAGGUUGAAGAGGUCAAUGAUAUUGAUGAUGUUGAGGAUGACUCAGAUGAUAAUGCUAUUGAUGAUUCUGAUGAUGAACUUCUAACCGAUGACUUUGAUUCAGAUUCAAGUCAAAAUAGCCACGAGACAAGAAAGAAUAAUAGAUGGUUUAAGAAAUUUUUCUCGAGUUUAGAUGCAUUGAGAAUUGAGGAAAUCAACGACCCAGCAAGGCAGUGGCACUGCCCAGCAUGCCAGGGUGGUCCUGGUGCCAUUGACUGGUAUAGAGGCCUUCAGCCUCUGAUGACACAUGCCAAAACAAAAGGAGCAAAAAGGGUGAAACUCCAUCGUGAACUUGCUGAACUCUUGGAUGAGGAAUUGUGUAGAAGGGGUACUUCAGUUAUUCCUUCUGGUGAAGCUUUUGGCAAAUGGAAGGGUUUAAAAGAUGAAGAAAAAGAUCAUGAAAUAGUCUGGCCACCUAUGGUUAUGAUAAUGAACACAAGGCUGGAACAAGAUGAGAACGAUAAGGUACUGCAAUAUCUUUUGCAAUUUUUAUUUUCUGAUAUACUAAAAUAAUGAAGCUAAUUGUUUCUAUUUUCAGUGGAAAUACUCGUUUCCUGUCUCCUGCUCUAACUUUUAACUUUUUAUUUAUUGUAUUAUACUUCAGUGGAUUGGUAUGGGAAACCAAGAGCUUCUUGAUUAUUUCAGCUCAUAUGCUGCUGUGAAGGCUCGACACUCGUAUGGUCCACAGGGGCAUCGUGGGAUGAGUGUUCUGAUUUUUGAGAGCACAGCUAGGGGUUAUUUAGAAGCUGAACGGCUACAUAAGCAUUUUGCUGAGCAAGGAACGCAUAGGGAGGCUUGGGAACGACGUAGGGUCUUAUUUUAUCCAGGCGGGAAGCGCCAACUUUAUGGUUAUAUGGCUAUGAAGGAAGACCUAGACAGCUUCAACCAGCAUUCUCAAGGUUCUCUCUAUUUAACAGAAGACAACGAUUAUAUUACAUGCAGGGAUAAAAUGCAAGAUAGCUUUAAAUGCAUGAGAUUUUUCUGUAUUUUUUUCUUCACAAAUAAGUAGCCCUGCAGAUACUUAGGCAGUUGACUGACGUGCUGUAUAACUGAUCUGUUGAUUAGGCAAAUCUAGGCUGAAAUUUGAGAUGAGAUCCUAUCAAGAGAUGGUUGUUAAGCAGAUCAGGCAAAUGAGUGAGGACAACCAGCAGCUUAUUUUUUACAAGAACAAGGUUGCAAAAGAACAAAGGCAAAAAGUUGCUCUUGAAGAGUCUUUUGGUAUUGUGAGUGAGAGGCUCCGGAAGACAAUGGAGGAGAACAGGAUUGUAAGACAAAGAACCAAAAUGCAGCAUGAACAGAACAAAGAAGAGGUAGUUACUUCAAAUCUUCACAUGCCUGUUGCCGGACAUUUGGUCCUGGUGUAUUAGUUAGUAAUUUUAUACUGCAGUACAUAUUAGUAACCUACUGGUUUGUGAUAUCUUAUAGGAUUGAUUAAUAAUGCAUGUUUGCCAUAAUCAAUAUUGCUUGCUGUCUUCCUUUCCUGGAUCAUGGUUUUUGGUUGACAUGCUCAGUAUCUGGACUUCAAAGUUGCGCACUACAUGCCCUUGUAGCACAGCAUGUCAGCGUCACUGCCUUGGUCAAUCAGUUGUUAUUUAGUGCACUAUUUAUGUAUUUUGUCUGUUCGAAUUUUAUUCGGUACUUAUGCCAUGUUUCUGCCAAUCCCUAAUUAUUACUAGUAAAAGAUGGUGGUGGUGAUCAUAAAAGUUGCUGCGUAUCUAAAAUGAAAGUUCCAAUUGGCAUAUGCAUUUUAUUACUACAACCAAUGCUUACAGGGUAAAUCUAGCUAUUUGCUAGGCUCGCAUUUAAGGUAUUUAGUCAGAGUAUGAGCAACUUUGGCUUGAUAUAGAUUCAUGUGCUUAACCAUCUGUUGCAUGUUGGCUGAUGUUCAAGUAGACGAAGAAGAGCAUGCUAUUGUCCUCCCUGGGAAUUUUCUACUUGAUAGAAUAGUAAUUCUUUUUCUGCUUCAUGUUAACUGUGUUUCUUCUUUUGCCCUUUCCAGAUGGAUUUCCAAGAGCAAUUCUUCAAGGAACGAAUCAAAUUUAUCCAUGAAGCCAGGGAUGAGAAGGAAGAGAGUUUUGAGAAGCUGCAGCAGCAACAGCGUGAGAAGGUCAAGCAGUCUAACCCCAAUCCUUCAAAUACAGAGGAAUACAGGCGCAGGUACAUAAUUUUGAUACUUCUGUGAAUUUCCUUGUGUAAUUGGAUUGAUACUGGUAAUCUUACAGUAUAUGACCGUUUCACAUUAAAACAGAUGGUUUAAUCUCAUAAGAUGAAAUGCUGCUAGAUAUCUCUUUUCUGUUUACCUGUUGAAGUUAUGAGAUAUUUGUGUAUUUUUCUUUUCAUAUCUUUUGAAAAAUUAUUUGUAGGGCGGAUGAAAUUGCAAAAUUCAUAAAGUUCCAGGAUGAAGAGAUGCAGGCUUUUGUGGCAGAGAGGGACAAGCUGAUCAAAGCACACGAAGAGAAGAUGGUUGGCAUGAGAGAGAGGCAUUGGCAGGAAGAAGUUGAGCUUGAAAAGGAGUUUGAUGCUGAAUUGAGCCACCUCAUGGAGAAGUACACUCCGGAUGGCUCAAAAGUCAACCCCGGCAAUACUUGAUUGUGGAAUUGUAGGGGAAUGCGAUGGUAUGUACACGUGGUAAAAAAGACUUUAAUCUCUCUGUUCCCUGAGGAAACUUCUGUGAUGACACUGAAUAUUUCUCCAUUUUGAGUUACAACUCUUAAAAUAGUUUGUUAAAAGAUUGGAAUAUAUGGGUAAAAAAAAGUUAAAUCUAAAGUUGCAUCUAUGGUUGCCUUAUUAUGCUUGUGUUGUUUGCUAAGACAUGAUUCAAAUAAGAACUUGGAAUGAAUCUACGAUUUCUUUCCUAUUAUGUUGCAAUGUUUUGGUUAAAUGACAUUGCUCUUUCUAGAUUAUGGGCUGCAUCUUUCAUGCAACUUGAAACCAAAGCUAAUCAUAUGUUUUGUAAAGAAGGAAAUAGAAAUAAUGUUAUUUUUUGCUUGGUACAAGGGCUGAAAAUUUUUGAGGGUGUAGCUAACUGUCAAAUUAAUAGUAGUUUCGAAAAAUAUUGUUUUUUGCAUGAGCACUUUUGACAACAACUUUGUUGGGAACAAUUUGUUAUACUUCUUGGCUUAGGAUCUAGUCACAAGUUUAGACAAGAAAGAAUUCUUGCUUCAACCUAUGGUUACUCAGAAGGCAGAUUUGUCUUUGACUGAACUCCUUCUCAAAAUAAUGUUUCUUUGUGAUAGAAUAGUUGCUUAUUUCUUUAUUUCAUAUUGGCAGCCUUUUAUAGACUUUUAAUAACGAAGGAAAGAGUCCUAAUAGAAUUCUUAACUUAGAGUUUAUGAAGUAAAUAAAAGCUUAAUAUAAUAGAGAAAAUAAGUAAAACUAAAGCUCUUAAUAAAAUCUGGUAUAAUAAAUAAAUAGAACUAAAACCAUUAUUGCAAUAAAAGUGUCCAUAUCAUUAAUCCCUUCCUCGGAGUUGAGCUUGUCCUCAUGCUCAAAUUCAGAAUAAACUUCAGAACUUAUCCAAAAUCAUCUACCUUAUCAUCAUCUUGCUUGCCUUCAAUAUUUGGUGCUUCUAUCCAAAAUAACUUUUUACAUUUGUGUCCCAUGAAAUAGGACUCGUCACAAUUAUAACACAGCCCUUUUGCCUUCUUUCUACCAUUUGUAUUUGUGUCAAUCUCUUAGUAAAUGGUGCUGAAGAACUUAUUUUGUCGUUGUUCCCUGUUGGUUCAGUUGUUUGUUUCCCUCCCUUUGCAAUGCUCUUAGUUGUUGGAAUGAUUGAAUUGCUACCAGUGUUUUGAGAAGUUGGUCAGUUCAAGAUGGCUCGAGAUGACAGUUUGGAAGAGACAUUUUGUUUACAUUCCAAUGUUCGAGCCAUAUUUAUUACAACUUCAAGGUUUUCUGCUUGUUGCAUUUCAGUAUCACUUCUAAGUUCCUCUACUAACCCGGUAGUUAAGAGGUUUACUUGUUGUUGAUGUUUAAGAUUAGCAGUCCUAGCCAAUAGUGAUUGAAAUUGGUGUUGAGAUUCUUCUACAAUCCCAGUUUGUCUCAAAUUGACAAGUUCCCCCAAGGGGUUAUUACUCAUAGGUGGCACAAACCUCAUAUUGCAAUACUCUUUGAAGCGCCCCCAAUCAAGAUUUGCCUCUUCUUCCAUUUGAUCAAACCACAAUUGUGCCUCUCCUAAGAGAUGGAAUGAAGCUAAGCCUACUUUGUUUUCUUUGUUAGUUCGUUGAUUGCCAAAAAAAAAUUUCGCAUCUUUUCAUCCCCCCUAAAGGAUCUCCAACACCAUCAUAAGUGGGAAAUUCCAUCUUAGAGUAUCAUGGGACCAUGCACCCAUCGUGUUGCAAGUCCGAAUUUCUUUUCCUGCCUUCGUUGUCGCCUUCUUCAUUAUUUUUUUCUGAAUCCUUUUUUGUUAUCUUUUGAACCAAAAGAGAUAAUAUUGCCACAUGCUCCUCUAAUGCUUAUUCUCAUGUAGCCAUUUGUUCCAUGAAAGCCUUCAGCUUGGCUGUCAAAGUCUUUUCAUCACCCAUGACAGUUUGCUCGGAUACAAAGUUGUUAUAUGCCUUGGUGUAGGAUCUAGUCACAGGUUUAGACAAGAAAGAAUUCUUGCUUCGACCUAUGGUCACUCAAAAGGUAGAUUCAUCCUUGACUGAACCCUCUUUCAAAAUAAUGUUUCUUUUUUUUUUUUAUAGAAUAAUUACUUUUCUUUAUUUCACAUUGACAACUUUUUAUAGACUCUUAAUAACAAAAGAAAGAGUCCUAAUAAAAUUCUUAACUUAAAGUUUAUGAAGAAAAUAAAAUCUAAUAUAAUAAAGAAAAUAAGUAAAACUAAAACUCUUAAUAAAGCCUGAUAUAAUAAAUAAAUAAAACUAAAACUACUAUUGCAAUAAAAGUGUCCAUAUCACAAUUCCACAUACGAUUGUUUGGGAAUAACCUUGGAAGGUUGACAAGAUUUUCACUUUUGAAAUGUCUUGGAGGGCAUGACUUGAAGGCUCGAAUACGAAAAUUAUUAAGAAUUUCAUAUUUAACCAUGAUUUUUUUGUUAAAAUAUUUCAAGUGGGUGCAACUUUCAUUGACCACUAUUAUACUCGUUAUCUAUUUAAGUUACCUUCUAUUUUUCAUGUUCAAGUAACCACUUUCAAUUCUACUACUUAUCAUUUUAGUACGUUCAUGCUCACUUUCUUUUCAUAACUUUCUUUUUCAAGGCUUAUAAAUAGAAGUUUUGAGUCUCAUUUUAAGGGGAUUUUUUAUCUUCUGACAAAUGUAGUGUUUUAAAAUUCUCUCUACAACUUUCUUUUUACAAUUAUAACAACAAUUGUAGUUCUGAUAUUUCUCAUUUCCUUAUUGUGUCCGUCACCACCACCUACCACCGCAUUUGUUUUCUAGAAUUUGUUCUGAUCUUUCUCUCCAUCAUCUCUUCACGACAUCUUGUUUUGCUAAAUUAUGAUGUAUUCUCACCUUACAAAAAGAACCCUCUACAUAAUUUGACAUUUUUUUUUAAUUUAAAUAUAACAUGACUCUCCUAUUUGGUAAAUAGGUAUGUUUUAUGUGGCCAAAAUGACUUCAUUUUAGAACAAUUAAACUAUGACAUGGAAAUUAAAAAUUAAAACAAUAAAAAUAUUAUCGACAUCUUAAUUCUUACAAAUGACAGGCGAUAGAAAAACCAAAUCUCUUCUCUUUCAUUUACCGAAUCGUAAAGAGGCUAGCAAUUAAUUUGAAUUGAAGGUAAUCAUUUUUGCUUAAAGCAUUGUUUUAUUUUGGUUUAGGCUUUUGAAAAUUUGUUUGAGGUUUGGGUUUCAAAACUAGUUUUGGCUUAAAUUAGUUUGGGGUUUAUACUGUGAAAAGUGUUGUUUCCAAAACUGAUAUAAAUCUUGUUUUUUAAUCUUGUAAUUACCUAAACUUAAAAUAUGAUAUAACUCCAAAGUUUAAAAAAAGAAGUUAUAUAAAACUAUAUUGGUUAAGUUAACGUGACAUUUCAUUAUGUUUUUAUAACAACUCGAUUUUCAGUGGUAUUGGAAACAGUGGUUCGAGGCCACCAAAUUCAGCGAGUAAGCUCGUAAAAUUUAUUAUUUAAUAUUUACGAGUCAAAUAUGGUUUGAAAAAUAUUUUUGAAUUGGUAAUUUAUGUCUUAUAAUGAAUUAUUACGUUCAAGUAAUAAAACCCUAGUUUAAGUGGUUUUAGAAAAUAAGGUAACGGGACCUCGUUUUUAUAAACCAAGCUGUAAAUGUUUUUAUAAAUAUUUAUGGAGUGUCAAUAAGGUGGUAAUAAAGUUUCGUUGAAAAAUUUUAACGUUUUUAUAGUUAAUUAAUUAAAAAGGAUUAAAUUGAAAAAAGAUACAAAACUUGUUAAUUACAAGAAAUAAGUGAUUAAAUGGCCUAAUUAAUAAACAAGGGAGGACUUAAGGAAUAAAUAUGCCUAAAAUAUAUUGAUGAGGUGGCAUAGAAAAAUAAUAAUAAAAUAAAACCAUUCAAUGGAAAAAUUGUAAUUUUGGUGAAAUUAAAAAUAAAACAAAUUAAAUUUAAAGGUUUCUAGAUACUUUCUUCUUCAAAUUUCGGUUCAAAACAGAGAAAGGAGAGUUCCUUAAGUUGGUUCUUCAAUUUUGUUUCAUGUGAGUUCAAUUCUUACCCGUUUCUUGUAAUUUUUAUGUUUUUGAAAUUGUUACAAUUAGGUUCAACUAAACCUUACCUUUGUUUUUUAUUUUGUUAAAGAUUUUGGUUGUUGCCAUUGAUGAAUCUAUAUGAUCCUUGAUGUUAAAUGAUGAAACUGAGAUAUUAGUUGUUAAUUAAAAGUAUUUUAUUAAGUGAUUUUUGAUGAAUUUUUUGAUUAGGGAUUAAAUUGUUGAAAUAGUAAAAAUACAAAGGUUUGUUGUGAAAUUAUUGCAAAAUGGGCUGUAUUGAAUUCCAUGAAUAUUCGGCUAGCUUGGGUUUGUAUUAAAAAUGGUUAAUUUGCAUGUUUUGGGCUCAAAGACUAAAUUGAAUAAAAGUAAAACUUUAGGGGUAAUUUUGUAAAAAAUGUCAAAAAUGACCAAAUUACAUGAACUGAAUUUUUUAUUUUCUAAAUUAAUAUAUUAAAUGAGAUUAUUAAUUUAGAUCAAGAUCGAGUGGAAAAUCGAGGAAAAUAUAAAAUUUCUAAAAUGCCCCUGAAUCUUAAUAUUUAUGCAAUUUAGCCAGGUAAGUUCGUGUAACUAAAUUAUAUAAUUGUAUAUUUGAGUUGAAUGUUAUGCAUGUGAAUUGUGUAUUUAUCAUGUAUGAAAAUCAAUCACAUAGCCGACAAUAUUGAUAAGUAUUAAGUCCCGUUUGAACAAAUGAAAUUUGAUGGAUACAGGGUUCCUAAUAUAUGACUCUCACGAACAUCCCGUUAAUAGCUCUUCGGAGCAUCCCAAUUGGUUGUGUUCUUGCAUGUGUUGCGGACACACCACUGCUCGAAAGAGCGGCCUGUUAUUAGCUCUUAUGAGCUUCCCGUUAUAUGGUUAUUGCGAGCUUCCCGUUAAUAGCUCUUCGGAGCAUCCCGAUUGGUUGUGAUCCUGCAUGUGUUGUGGGCACACCGCAUAUCUUAUGAGCGUCCUGAUAUAUGACUCUUCGGAGCUUCCCGAUAAAAGGAUCUUUCAUGAGUUUUUUGAUUAAUUGGCUCUCCGAAGCUUCUCGAUAUUGGCUCACUUAAACUUCCCGAUAUUGGCUCGUAUGAGCUUCCCGUUAGUGGCUCUCUGAAGUUUCCUGUUUAUGUGCUCGUGUGAGCAUUCCCGAAAAUGAAUUGAGGAAUUAUAGAUUUGUACAUUUUGUGUGUACUACUCAUGUAUCCAUUGAAAUUUUAAAUGAUUCAACGGGUAAAAUCCUGACAUGAGAAAAUAUGAGUACGAAAUGAAUUAUUACUCGUAUAUGCUUGAAAUACAUGAAACUGAUAUUACAUGACAUGUUAAAAUAUGAGAUAGAAGAUACAUUUGUAUGAAACUUGUCUAAUAACUAAGUACAUUAGUAAUUACGAACUAUUACCGGAAUAAAUAUAUACGAAAUACAUGGAAAUGAUGGUACAAGGUAUCUUGAUAUAAAGAAAUGAAUGAUUUAUGUUUAAGAAGAAACAAUAAGAGAAUGAUAAGCAUCAUGAUAUGUACAUAUGUGAAUAUAUUUUAGAUGUUGAUACAAGGAAAUUAUAUAAAUUGAGACGAGUAGUAAACUCAAGUGUGACAUAUUGAGAAAAUAAGUUUAUCAAUGUUGAAUUUAUAUGGAAUAUGUGUAAGUACGCUAACAAGUAUUGUUGUUGAUGCUUAGGCAAGUACCAAGCUAUUGGUUGAAUGGUAAUAUGUUUAUUUACAUGAUGCAUUGAAAUGGUAAGUACUCAAGAGAAAAUAUGCAAGUGCUCAUGAAAGAGCGGUAAGGUUUAAAUUAUGCAGUUUCUUUUGAAACAACUUAUCAUGGGAUUAAUUCGAGAAAGGCUAUGUUAAAUGCACUAGCUUGUGGAUAUGGUUGAAUAUUAUGCUUAUGACUUGUGUGUUAUGCACCUGGAAUGAGUGUGAAAAGUAAAGAAAUGCAAACGAAGAUAAAAAAAUUUAGAAGAGUUUAAAGUUGUUUAAAAUCCUACUAUGCUAGGAUAACAUAUAAAAGUGAUACUGUGGAUAUAUUCAUCUUGUGAGUCAAUAAAUAUAGCUUCAUGAGUAUCGCGGUAUCAUUAUUAGAUUAUUCAUAAUAUGAAUAAAUUUCAUAUUGGAAAUGAAUUGUUAUGAUUAUAGCUUAUACGAGCUUACUAAGCAUUUAUUGCUUACAAAUUUGUUUUUAUUUACUUUUCAGAUUAUCGGAAGCUCGGUCAGGUUGAAAGCUUGCCGGAGCUAUAUCACACUAUCCACCGGUUCUAUUGAUACUUUCGAAUGAUUUGAUUAUGGUUAUAAUGGCAUGUAUAGGUUAUUUUGGCUAAUCUUGGCUUAUAUAUGUUUUGUUGAGAUUAGCCACUCAUUUGACUUGUGUUUUGGCACAUUUUGGUUUGUGUAUAUUUGCUUUAUGUGGUUGAUGUGUGGUUUGGUUUAUGGAUGUUUAGUGAAAGGUAAAAUGUUAGCUAAAUGUGCAUUUAUAUAUACCUGUUUUGGUAUGCAAUGAACUGGUCAUGAAUCAGUACCUUGAUAUGUAAGGUAUAUGUAUAACUAAAUAUGUUAGUAUUUGAAAUACAUUUUGGUAUCAAAUGGUAAGUUUUGUUAGUUAAGUAACUUGGUCUGAAAUAAUGCAAACUAGCUUGGUAAACCUUGGAUACAAUUAUGAAUAUAAGUUAGUUAUAUAUAUGAAUAUAUUGAAUACAUGAACAUGCAUGUUAUAAUAUGUCACUUGAGGUGCUUAAAAGAAUGUUAGUUGUAUGUGAAGAUAUUAUAUAUUUAAGGCAUGAUUCUAUCUUGUUUUGAAUGUUUUGUUAUGGCUUGUUGUUGUGUAAAAAUGUUGGAUUAGGUUGAAGAUAAAUUGGGUGAGAAAUAUGGCUUGGAAAUGACCUAUUUUCGUCCACACGGGCAAAGACACGGGCGUGUGUCUCAGCCGUGUGUCACACACGACCAAGUGACAUGGUCGUGUGUCCCUUGUAAUUUUAAAAUAGAGCAAAACAGAAUGUUCACACGGCCUAGCACAUGGACUUGUGGCUUGGUCGUGUUACCCCUGCACCUUAAUAAUACAAGUCAGUAUGCUCACAUGGCCUAGCACACGGGCGUGUGUCUUGGCCGUGUGACCUAAGUCAAAGAGCUCAUAUGUUUGGACACGGGUUGGGACACGACCGUGUGUCCCUAUUUCGAAUGUCCACACGGCCUUAGACACGGGCGUGUCUCUUAACCAUGUGAGACACAUGGUCUAGCCACACGAGCGUGCGUCCCCUACACCUUUGAAAAAAGUUUGAAUGUUUUCUGAAAAAUUUUCUGAGUACUUGAUUAAGUCCCGACUUGUUUCUAAUGUAUAUUUUGGGCCUCGAGAGCUCGUAUAAGGGACUUUAAGCUUGAUUUUUGAUUGGUUUCUGAUAUGAAUGCUAAAUGAAAUGAAAUGUAUGUUAAUUGAUCUGUAAAUUUUUGUAAUACUCCAUAACCCCUGUUCUGACGCCAAAUACGGGUUAGGGGUGUUACAGUUUUCCUUACACUUUAAUGGGUUAAUCACUCAAAAUUUCCAAUUAUAAGCUCAAGUGCGAAAAUUCGUUUUAAAUUUAAGAAAAAAUUGAAAAUAAAAAUGACUGGAUUGUUAAAAAUGAUAUUAUAUAACUUUUUGUUUGCACUACCUACACCAAUUGAUAGCUCUCUUCUCUUCUACUAUUCAAUUUUUAUUAAAAAGUUUUAGAUGACACGGAUCUACGAACAAUAAUCUUUUUCUCCAACUUCCGACACUACUCGUUAGAUCAACUUGGAUUUAAAUUAUGUUUUUUUACUUAUCGAUAGGUACUAAUUGUAACGACCCGAUAGUCAGGGGUGUCAGAAAGUGCAUUCCUGGGACUUCGUUCUCUAAAAUUAGACUCGUAAAUAAAUAUUUAGAAAGUUAGUUUGUAGUUAAUUAGAUUUCGAUUAAGUGAAUUUGCAUGAAUUAGAGUUAUUAUAGUAUAAGGACUAAAUCGCGUAUAGGGUAAAAGUUGAAUUAUAGAUUAAAAUCAAUUGAGGGAUUAAAGUAGCAAAUAUACUUUUAUAAAUGUAGUGGUCGGUCAUGACUUAAGUGAUUAAUGUUAUGUAUAUUAUACAUAUAGUUAUAUUAAGUUAACUUUAAUAUAUAAAAUGAUAAAUAAAAAUUAAAGUAUAAUAAAAUGAAAUAAGAAAGAAAGUGAAAAAAAAAAGGUGAAAGAAAGACAUGCAAAAGUAAAGAAAAGAAAAGAAGGAGAGGAAGAAGAAUUGACGACACUUUAGGGUUUGAAAGUUUCCAACUUUAAUUGGUUAGUCAAUUUAGUUCAUUUUUUUGUAAUUUUUAUAUUUUUGGAAUCUCGGUGAUUAGUACUACCCGACCCAUGUUGAAAUUUUAGCAUUGAUUAAGAUUUUAGAUGUUGUUAUUAUUGAAUAAUUUUGGUAAUAAGGAUUAAAUUAAUAGAUUUUUAAGUUAGAAAUAAAAAAGGAUUAAAUUGUAGAAUAAACUGUAAAUUUUGAGUAAUAGGGACUAAAUUGUGAAAAUUUUGAAAUUUAAGGGUUUAAUUGAAAAUAGGGAGUUAAUUUUAGCUUAAAGUGAAAUUAGUAUAAAAAUAUAGGAUUAAAUGUGAAGACUAAAAAUUAGUCUCGGUUUAGGGACUAAAUUGGAAUUUAAGCAAAAAUUGAGUAAAAAUUGGAAUAUUUAAUGUAAAAUUGAAUUGUGUUGUAUUGAUGUAUUUUAAUUGUUUUAAUUUCGUAGCUAACGUCGUACCAGAAUCCUCGAUUAAAAAGGGGAGGGAUAAAAUCGACAUCGAAUAGCCCGGAAUUCACGGUUUGUGUUUCUAUAAUCCGAACUAAGUUGUAAAUUAUUGCACUUUGAAUCAUUACAUACGGUAAGCAUGGGAAGUGAGAAUUAAUGUGCUUUACAAUUGAAUUAAAUUCAUAGUUGAUUGAAUUGGAUUGAUGUGGCAUAUGUUAUGAAUGUAUUGAGUAAUUGGAAAUUGAAAUGAAUAUAUUUUUAAAUGUGAUAAUGUGCAAAUAUGAGAAUUGGAUAUUUGUUGUAUUUGAAAAGUGAAAUGAAACCUUAUUAACUGUAUCAGGCUGAGUCGGAUAUAGAUGGCAUGCCAUGGGAUAGGAAAAGUUCAGGGAUUUCUUCGACUUCGAGUUGAUGAGGCACUGGGUGCCAAUUUACUUCGGUUUAAUCAAUGAGACAUUGGGUGUCAAUUUAUAUAGCGCUGUGUGCAGUUAUUACUUCAGAUUUAUCCGAUGAGGCACUAGGUGUCAAACUGGUGUGUUGGUUGGAUUUGUGUAUCCGUCCGAGUCCGAGUCGUGUUAAUAAGGAUAAAUAAAUAUUAAAGUUCUAUAAUUAAUACUGAAAUAGCAUGGUAUGUGAAAUGGAAUUGAGAUAGUGGAUUGAAAAUGAAAUGUGAAAUAUGUUGUGAACAAAUGAGAUAUAUGAGUUAUGUACUCACGAAUUGAAUAUGGAAUGGAUAAUGCCAUUGAUUAAAUGAAAUGUGGAUUAAUAUGCGAAAAGCUAUUUAUAUAGCAAGUGAUGUGAAUUGAGAUCUUUGUUAAACAAAUCAAAUAUGAUAGCAUGUUAAAAUUGAGUAUAGUAUGAAAUGAUAUAGUAAUAUGCAUGAAUUUGAAAUGAUGGUAUAUGGUAAUGGUAAGCUUAGACAAUAGUAUGUUCAUAUAAUUCAAAUUAUGCAUUCUUGUAUUAUUAUGUCUUUAAUUGUUCGGAUUAUAGAAAUAUCACUGAGUUUUACUCAGCGUACGGUUUUGUAUUCCGUGCGCAGGUUAAGUACUUCUCUUUUGAUCGCCUACUUAACAUUCAACAACAAUCUCGACCUCAAAUGUGGUGAUGUUUACCUUUUGUGAUGGCAUGUACCUAGGGUGUCAUAAUUGAUAGUUAUUUUGUGGAUGAAUUGUAAAUGAAGUUAUAAGUUUAAUGUUGGUUUGAGUAUAUAAAUAUAUGUUUGUGUUUGAAGCCAUAAUUUGACACAUUGUUUUAAAUCAAUGUCUGUUAGGUGUAUGUGAACUUAAACUUGAUGUUUUAGGUAGUUAUAAGCUACGCUAAAUUGAGUGAUUUUGGUAUGUUUUAAACUUUGAUUUAAAUAAUGCAUCGUUGAUAGGUUUUGAUGAUAUAAAUGUGGUACCAAUGAGGAUACAAUGGUUAGGCACCUAAGAUGAUUGUUUUGGCAUGUUUGGAGCAUGUUUGAUCGUAUUUCGGAUAGGUUAAUUGAUUGGUUUUUGAGUUGUUUAAUUCCUAAGCAAGUAGGAAAUGGUAAACUUGUUGUUUAAGGUACAUUUUAAGUCCACACAGGUGCGUGAGUUGGCUGUGUGAGACACAAGGCUGAGUGACAAGGGCGUGUGUCGUUUGAUUUGUGCUUCGGGAGCAAGUCAUCUAGCACACGCCCUGGCACACGGGCGUGUAGCUUGGCCGUGUGACCCAAGUCAGAGAAUUACACAAGCACGGACACAGGUUGGCACACGACUGUGUAUCCCUAUUUCGAGAGUUACAUGGCCUGAUACACGGGCGUGUGUCUCAUUCGUGUGAGUCACUGAGACACAAGGCUGUGUGACCCUUGCUGUAGAAUUUUUCUAACUUUUUCCAAAAUUUUUCAGAGGUACCUGAUUUAGUCUCGAAUCGUUUCUAAAGUGAUUCCAAGGCCUCGAGGACUUUAAUAAGGGACAAUAUGCAUGUUUAAUGAUGGAUUAUUUUAUGAUUAUUGAAAUGUUUUGAAAUGAAUGAUUUAGGUUACAUUUAUUCGGUAAUCCUAUUUCGACGACGGAUACUGGUUAGCGGUGUUACACUAAUUCACCGUACAGAUUGUCGAAUUGUAAUUUAGAGCUCCUUGGAAAAAUAUUUUAAAAAAAACUUAACCUAAUAACUUAAAUAAUAAAUUUUGAGUAGUUCAAUGAUUUAAAUAAAAAUUUUCAAAUAAUUCAGUGGGCAAAUUGUAACUUUUGUAAUUAAGUAACCAAAACAAAAAUUUAGCCACAAUUUAGUGAAUAAUUUCGUAGUUUAUCCAAAUUUAUAUUUAUUAUUAAUUCAACCUCCGCUGCUACCCGUCGAUGUUAUUGGUGGUACAAAUGAACUGACGCUUAAAAUGCUUUCCAGCUAUUAGCUAACCCAAAAAUUUUCCUGCUCAUUUCAUUUUCCAAGCCGACACUCACUCUCCACUCUCAUACUGUCACUACUCUGCUCUACUCCACAACCCUGUCUCGCCUUACCGGCCCCGCACCUCCACACGCUCUAUGCUUACACUGCGCCCCCUGCGUCUACCCUAUUAUUAGAGGUAAAUUUAUUGGCUUUUCACUGUUUUUGUGAGGUAACCCUAGGUUUUUUUUUCUUAGAUGUGGGGUAAAUUAUUUUCUGAGUUUCUUAAUUAUAUUGCUUGGUUUUUUAUUUAACGGUUUCUCUGUCUCAUUAUGGCAUUGUUGUUGUUAAUGUUGCCGCUGCAGUUCGUGCUAUCAUUUUUGCUGUUGCUCUCUUUUUUUUUUACAGGUUAGCCAUGUUGUUCGUGUUAAUCUUGUCAUGCCCUGCCAUACCCAUACCUAAGAGUUCUAACUUCAAACAUACUGGCGGUGUCAAUGAUGUAUUGUCGCGUGUAGUUUGUCUUGUUUCUGUCUAAAUUUGACAUGUUUAAAAUUUCGUGGCAUGUUCAAGUUUUAGACUUUUAGUUAUUUCAAUCAUGUUUGAGUUGAGAUAUAACACGGACGCACCGAUUGCUAGCUCUAUUUUGAGGCCAACCCAGUGCAUUGUGUAAAUGUUUUGAUCUUUGCAAGUAAAGGUUGACUGAAAUAUCCUUCGUAAUUGAGUUUUGGGCAACAGCUUUGACGAUUAGGGUAUAGUGAUCGUACAACCAAUUUAUAGCUUGAGACACUUGCUGACAACACCAUCUACAGGCAUUUUCAUAGUUAGUUGUUGUCGAUCUUGUUUAUUUUUAAGACUAUGUACUACUAAAUGUCGAUUUUAUGACAUCUUACUAUAGGAUUGUGUUAGAGGAUGAGUUCAAGAAAAGGGAAUGGGAAUCCUUUUGUUUCUGGUGGUAUUAACAACCCAUCGUCCAAGGGGAAAGACAUAUCUGGAUCCUCUAGCUCCAAGGUUGAGCAGCUAAGCCAGGGUGUAGCGGACAUGAACCUGGGUUUGCCUCAAGACGAUGGUGAGUGGGAGGUUAUUCAAAGGAAGCCUAAGAAUAGAACUGGAAGCAGUGCUGCAAGACCUUGGGGUCCUCAAAAUUCCAAUGGUAAACCGCGGGGAGCGAUGUGGACUAAUGCUGUAUCAGGAAGAGCCUCUGGCAAUGCUUGGGAUGCUCAUAAUACUGAUUCUAGGAUGGCAAC